GAAAUUUCUGGAAAGACCUCAGAGAGACCGGGCCGUGGACGCUUUCCUCAGCAAAACUAGGAAUGGGUUUGAGUGCCUCGCGUGUGCCAAUGGAGCGGCUGUGAUGGGCAGAAGCGGCUGGGAUGGGGACUGGCAGCCAGCAGGUCGCCCAGUGCAGUUUCCUUAAGGCGCAUUUCCUGCGGCCUCUGGAUGGAGGUUCUAGGGAGGCGGUGAAGCUGAGGGCUUUGGGCCAGACCCCAGGAUUAUUUCCCAGCACAGCUUCCCAGCUGUGUGACCUUGGGUGAGUUGUU
rnacentral:lncRNA from 1 species